UUCCAUCUGACGAGUCCUAAGUAGGACGAAAUGCGCGUCGAGCUGGAU
rfam:Schistosoma haematobium scaffold4_11, whole genome shotgun sequence.